AGAACGAACGCUGGCGGCAUGCCUAAUACAUGCAAGUCGAACGAACUCUUCGGAGUUAGUGGCGCACGGGUGCGUAACGCGUGGGAAUCUGCCCCUUGGUUCGGAAUAACAGUUGGAAACGACUGCUAAUACCGGAUGAUGACGAAAGUCCAAAGAUUUAUCGCCAAGGGAUGAGCCCGCGUAGGAUUAGCUAGUUGGUGAGGUAAAGGCUCACCAAGGCAACGAUCCUUAGCUGGUCUGAGAGGAUGAUCAGCCACACGUGGGACUGAGACGACGGCCCAGGACUCCGU
rnacentral:rRNA from 1 species